GAUGAACGCGGGCGGCGUGCUUAAUACAUGCAAGUAGAACGCUGAAGCUUGGUGCUUGCACCGAGCGGAUGAGUUGCGAACGGGUGAGUAACGCGUAGGUAACCUGCCUCUAAGCGGGGGAUAACUAUUGGAAACGAUAGCUAAUACCGCAUAAAAGUCGAUAUCGCAUGAUAUUGAUUUGAAAGGUGCAAUUGCAUCACUAAGAGAUGGACCUGCGUUGUAUUAGCUAGUUGGUGAGGUAACGGCUCACCAAGGCGACGAUACAUAGCCGACCUGAGAGGGUGAUCGGCCACACUGGGACUGAGACACGGCCCAGACUCCUACGGGAGGCAGCAGUAGGGAAUCUUCGGCAAUGGGGGCAACCCUGACCGAGCAACGCCGCGUGAGUGAAGAAGGUUUUCGGAUCGUAAAGCUCUGUUGUAAGAGAAGAACGAGUGUGAGAGUGGAAAGUUCACACUGUGACG
rnacentral:rRNA from 1 species